UACGUAGGGUGCAGGCGUUAAUCGGAAUUACUGGGCGUAAAGCGUGCGCAGGCGGUUUGCUAAGACAGGUGUGAAAUCCCCGGGCUUAACCUGGGAACUGCGCUUGUAACUGGCAAGCUGGGAGUGUGGCAGGAGGGGGGUGGAAUUCCGACGUGUAGCAGUGAAAUGCGUAGAGAUGUGGAGGAACACCGAUGGCGAAGGCAGCCCCCUGGGCUAACACUGACGCUCAUGCACGAAAGCGUGGGGAGCAAACAGG
rnacentral:rRNA from 1 species